rnacentral:lncRNA from 1 species
CUGGGGGUAAAUUCGCUGUCCGCCUCAUCAAUGUGGUAUUCAUCUUGAUGGGCUGGUUGAGGAUUGUAUUAAGACAAAGCAUUUGAAGGAGAAGCUUCUUUCGAUGGUUGCUCCUCCUUCUUCUGAAGCUAUUGAACAGCUGUUGUCGAGGCUUGAACUUAUUGAAUAAAGAAGCUGAAUUGCUGAGUGUUGGUGCAAAAAUCCGCCUGCGUCGGAAAAGCUGGAGGUGAGGGAGUCGCGGUCGCCGUCGGGACCUGCAAAAGAAGUUUAAACCGGAGGUGAGGUUGCUCCGGCAAGACCCUCCGACGCUC